AUCCACAGUGCAUCUGUGGAACUUGAGAAAACUUUACCACAAGACAGCACAAAGCCAACCAGGGUCCCUGAUUAAAAGUGAUUUCUUCUUUAAUUGAAAUGAUCUCUAUGAACAGCUGCCAGAGGAGCUUCUGAAGAGGGAAGUGCUACGAAGAGAGUUGGAAUAAGAACUAGAGGACAGAAGACUUGGUAAUGGAGUUCCUGGAAAUUGGAGAUAAUAAACUUUUCCCAACAGAAGAAACUUCUCAUGGCACAGAACCUGCCAGCAGAAAGAUGAAGACACCUGUCCCUAUCUGCAUGUAGAGUCAUAAGCAGUGAUUUUCUAACUUGGCAGUGCUCCUUCGAGUUGACAUUUCCAAAAUCACCUAGAGGACCAGGAAAUUCAGUCAGGCUGGCAGCACAAGAGGUGGGCCUGAUCAAAUCCCUCCUGGAAAAUUAUUAUUCAAGAAAUAAGAGAAAAUGGAAGACGCUGGGCACAUGUCCCAAAAUACUAUAGAUAAGUUUUUGGAAGUAACUACUGAUUUCCAAAUAUAGAAAGUUUUCGAGCUUUGAUUUAUUUCGACCUAGAAGAAAAUUUAAAAAAUAAAAAGUGACAAAAUAAAGGCAACAUAUUUUCCUACUGUAACUCCUCAUCCAGAAUGAAGAGAUUUGAAAAAAUUAAUCUCAAUGAUUCAAACACCUCUCCUAAAGAACAUAUUUUCCUCCAUUAUAUAAGUAUUUCAAGUGGAGGUUUUUAAAUCUAAACAAUCAGAUUCCAAAAUGACUGCUUGUUUUCUUCCUUUUCAUGGCUGGGUAGCUUUCCUCCUUCUGUCUCGCUGUUUCUCUCCUCCCUCCCUCCCUCCCUCCCUCCCCCUUCCUUCUUUCCUUCAUUCCUUCUUUUCAAUAAUUAUUGAAUACAUAGAAUAUUCCUUAUUCCAGGCCCUUAGGCUACAUCAGUAAAUUUUGCAGACAUGGUCUCUGCCUUCAUGGAACUUAUAGUUUAGUAAAAGAUCAAUAAUUAAAUUAAAAGCUAUACAAAGUAUGAUAUAAUUGUAGUGCUAAUAAUAUAUGUUAUAAAAUAUGAGACAAUAUUAUAUUAACUUAAGUCUGUAAGGUCAGGGAAGACUUUUCCAAAGGCAACAAUAUUGAAGUUGAGAUCAAAAUAUGAGUAGGAUAUAAAGUAAUUCCAAAUAUGGAGCUUCCCAGACAAUGGGAACAGCCUAUGUGAACAUUAGAAAAUGAGCAAAACGAGGUCUAAUAUAUCCUAGAUUUAUGUCGAUAGCCAAAACUGUAUCAAAGAGUGAAUUAUAUUCUUUCCACAAUCUUCUUUUAUAAUCCUAUACCGUAAGAAAGAGACCCCUGUUAAACACAACAAAAUAUUUUAAAAGCACAAGUAACCCAAAUGUAUCUUUACCCAAAAACCUAGAAGACCUAGAAGCUAACAGAGCAAAUUACAAUGAAUAAUGCCCAGAGGGCAUAACAGUCAAAAGCAAUGAGCUAUGAAACCCAAAAGCAAUACAAGCUUAAACAUGGGAGAAGUUUGGUUUUUCUCUCAUGUAACAGUCAAAGCGUCAUCCCAGGUUGAGAUGGUGGUUCCACAGUGUUGAGGGCUCAAGUCUCCUUAAAUCAUAUUGCUCAAUGAUUCCUAGAAUAUUGACUUGUUCUGGGUGUUUCAAAAUCACUCAUAAUGAACAGAAAAGAAAUUAGGGAAGUGAACAAUAUUUUUCUUUAAGGUGUACUGUCUAGAAUUUUCCUGUAUCAUUUCUGCUGUUAAGUCAAUACCAAGAUAGACUUUGUUAUGUGACCACAUUUAGAUUUGGAAAUACAGUUGUUAUUCCAGGCAGCCACAUAUCCAAGUGGAAAAUAUGAGAAAAUAGGUGAUAUCAGAUAAUUGGGGAGAACAUUCACAUCACAGUGAGAAACAAUGAAAGUUGUUAUGAUAACCCAAAGGACAGAAGAACGGGUGAGACUAGAUUCCUGAUCUUCAGAAUCAAGCAGCAUAAAUGAUACAGAAGAAAGGCAGUGUUUAGGGAAUGAGGCAAGGAAUUAAAUUGAUUCCAAUUGGGGAAUUAUCAUUAUUGAAAAAAGAACAGCUGAGCUGGACUCUAAAGUGGGUGUCAGGAUUUGAGGGGAAGAAGAGUUUGAGCAUUCCAGGGAGCGGAAACAGCAUGUUACAGAAUCUGCCUUGAGGGACCUGUAUGUGCUUCAUGUGCCUAGUUCUGUAACCACACUUACUCUCUUUUCAGAUGAUUUAAUGAAUCAUCUUAGCUACAAUCUUGGUCAAAGAAAUCAGUAUUACCCAUUUUAACUUAGAAGUGAAUCCUGAAAGUUUUUGAAUCACAAUGAAUGCAUUCCUGAGUGGUGAGGUCUCAUUCGAUUGACCUAACAAAAAGAUAAAGCCAAGAUUCUUCUUAGAACCAUUAAUCCACAAAGUAUGUAUCCAUAAACAUAACUUUUCCUUUUAUAUUCUAAAGACAUUCCCGAAGUAAGGUAAACAGUGAAGUAGGAUUUGUAAAAUAAUCCAACUCAAGAAUAUCACAACUUGUAAAAUUGGGAUUAACUAAACUCUGGCUUGAUGAGAAAACAGUAAUAAUUUUCAUUAGUAUAGCAGCUAUAGUUUUUUUAAAAAGUAGUUUUACAUAUAUUAUCAGUUUAUUCUUAAUAUAAAUAUAUUAUGUAGGUAUGGAUGAAAUUGUUAUUUCAAUCUAAAGGUGAGGAAACUAAAGCUAAAAGACAUUAAGAAAUUACUCAAUAUCAGAUAGAAAGAGUUUCAGAGAUGAGAAUCAAACCCAAGACAUAACACGAGUAUGCAUGCAUUCACUGCUGUGAGGAAAUAAAACUUCCCAUGGGUCUAUUUUCAGGUGGAAAACUCAAAACUAAACAAAGGAUUGGCUGGGUACAGUGGCUCACGCCUGUAAUCCCAGCACUUUGGGGAGGCUGAGAUGGGCGGAUCACCUGAGGUCAGGAGUUUCAGACCAGCCUCGCCAACAUGGCGAAACUCCAUCUCUACUAAAAAUACAAAAAUUAGCCGGGUGUGGUGACAGGCACCUAUAAUCCCAGCUAUCUGGGAGGCUGAGGCAAGAGAACUGCUUGAACCCGGGAGGCGGAGGUUGCAGUGAGCUGAGAUCACUCCAUUGCAUUCCAGCCUGGGCAACAAAAGUGAGUCUCUGUCUCAAAAAAACAAAACAAACAAACGAAAAGCCCCCCAAAAUAUAAAGGAUUAAAUGCUAAUUAACUAAGUACAAUUCCCAUUCGCUCUUUUCUAAUCUUGCUGUCAUAAAACGACCUAAAUUUCCUUUUAUUCUUAUUGGCACAGAAGCUAGGGCCAAUUAAGAAAAGAUGAUGUCAUUCCUGAGAAUUCUAGGAAAGUUGGGACUACGUUUCUCAUUGUAUUAAUUUAUGUAUAAGUUUUCCCAAGAAUGGAGUGCUAGAAUAUUCUGAUAUGAGAUAUAAUCCAUAAAGUGAUAGUCUAAUAAUCCAGUUGAUUUAGUUAUGAUAUAUUAAAAAUUGUAUUGUUACAAAAGACUGACAAAAAUGUUAUAAUAAUUCACCAAAUUACUUUUAAAUCAGAUUAUUGGAGAUGAUUAUUUUGGUCAAUUAAUUGAAAAUCUGAAUUUUAAACAUUUUAAUUAAAAAUCACUUAAUAUUUUAGUAAAUAAUGUACAAUGUAAUUGGAAACUCUGCUGGGUAUAUUUUAAUAAAUAUUUUCAAUUUGCAGUGCAUACACACAAUAUCUAAAGGUUUGUUAAAUAAGUCUUCUAUAUUCUGAUUUAAAAUAUCCAUUUGCUUAAGAAAUCAGCACUCUUCCAGCUUGGAAUCAUUGUAAAGACAAAUUUUUGCCAAUGCAAAUGUUUAUUAUUUAAAUUACUAGAAUUAAUAAAUUUGUCAUGCAUUGAAGCCACAAUGCCUUUGAAGUAUGCAUGAUUACUAACGGUAAUAGUUACUAUUCAUUGAGUAAGUAUAUAUGCCUCCCCCACAUACCUGUGCACACACGUGUGUGUAUAUAUGUGUGUGUGUGUAUAUAUGUGUGUGUAUGUGUAUACAUAUGUCAACCUCACAGCUAUACUGAAAAGUUUUAUCACUCUCAUUUAUCAGAUGUGGAUGCUAAUGAUAAAAGUGACUUGGCCAAAGUCACACUGUUUAUAAGUGAGAGAAACAAGACUAAUCCCAGGCCUGUGUCAUUUUACAACCUAAGUCUUUCCCACCAUAUAAGAAUUCAUCUCUAUAUAUGUGCAUAACUGUCUCUAAAAGAGUUAUACCUUCAAAAGAACACCUAUGUUGACGGCAAUGUUGUAUAUGUUGACAAAGGAAUUAAUUACACAAUUGUGUGCAUUAUACCUAUCAUUUGGUACAUUUAUUUUUCUUUUGCAUUUUUCUUUGAGAUGUAAUUUUAUAGUAAAAUAAUAAAACACUGUCUUCUAGAGCAAUGUCUUUGUGACAAAGGAUUUGGGCAAUAAUUGGGUUUGGAUACUAAUCUCCUAAGUUAAUAGGGAUGGACCCUCAAGAUACAGCAAGCAAUUGGCGAUUGGAGGAAGGCAGCAUAUUUUGGGAAGAUCUCAUUUCUGUUUAUUUGAAAGAUGUGCAUCUGGGUUAGAUAAAAUAGGGAAUGAGUGGAAAAGGAAAACUUUUACUGAUUGUCAGUGGGAUGUGUCUAAAUGCAUUAUCCCUCAUUUAAUUCUCAAAACAACAAUGAACAUUAUUAUGAUAUCCAUUUUAAAGAUACAGAGGAGUUAAGUGAACUCCUCUUAAGUGGCUAAAAUUUGAUUUACACAUAGAUCUGUUUACACAAAGUUAUUGAGGGAAGCAAGGAUUCAGGAGUUACGAGCAGUCAAAUAAAUUGACAGAUAAAUAGUGGUGUGCACUAAGAAUUGACCCCAAGGCAACCGUACUACAUUUCUUUGAUAUUUUACCUACUCGGGGUCUGAAACCCCUGUUAUCUGGGGUGGUAAUGUGGUGUUAAAACAAAACGAAUGACAGAAAGGUUGGCUGCAAAAUGAUGUUAAAAUAAAAACAGUCAUCACUAUGUGGGCUGCCACUACCACACGAUGGAGUGUACUGGUCAUUUGAGUAAGUGUCUCCUUGGCCAUUGCUUUUUUUUUUCUUUUUCUUUUUUUUUUUUUUUUUUUUGAGAUGGAGUCUUGCUCUGUCGCCCAGGCUGGAGUGCAGUGGCGUGAUGUCGGCUCACUGCAAGCUCCGCCUCCUGGGUUCACGUCAUUCUCCUGUCCUUGACCAUUUCAGUGAACUUCCUUGGCAGUUCAUUUCCUCCGUAUUUAAAAAUUGGAGAGGACUCCAUGUUAACACAUUUUGACAAUGAAAAGGCAUUUACAGACACUAGAUGUUC
rnacentral:lncRNA from 10 species